GAUGAACGCUGGCGGCGUGCCUAAUACAUGCAAGUCGAGCGAACGGACGAGAAGCUUGCUUCUCUGAUGUUAGCGGCGGACGGGUGAGUAACACGUGGAUAACCUACCUAUAAGACUGGGAUAACUUCGGGAAACCGGAGCUAAUACCGGAUAAUAUUUUGAACCGCAUGGUUCAAAAGUGAAAGACGGUCUUGCUGUCACUUAUAGAUGGAUCCGCGCUGCAUUAGCUAGUUGGUAAGGUAACGGCUUACCAAGGCAACGAUGCAUAGCCGACCUGAGAGGGUGAUCAGCAACACUGGAAGUGAGACACGGUCAGGACGCCUACGGGAGGCAGCAGUAGGGAAUAGUUGACAAUGGGCGAAAGCAGGACAGAGCAACGCCGCGGGAGGGAAGACGGUCUUCGGAUCGUAAACAUCUGCAAGUGGGGAAGAAGGGAAGUAUGGUAAGCAGUUGCCGUCCUGACGGUACCAAAAGAGAAAGCAACGGCUAACUGCGUG
rnacentral:rRNA from 1 species